ensembl:scaRNA
UCAUCUGGGAUGGUGGAUGGCGUGGUGGGCUGCAGGACAGCAGGAAAGGGGUGUGGGCCGAAAGGAACAGUGGCCCCGUGUGUGUGUGUGUGUGUGUGUGUGUGUGUGUGUGUGUGUGUGUGUGGGCAGGGGUGAGAGUGUGUCAAAUGCCCUCUCUGUGUCUAGGCCUUGAUUCUACUUGAGCAGGUAAAUUAUGUGGCCCCUGGCCCACAGGGCCAUCCUGAAAUGAAAACCCAAA